rnacentral:rRNA from 1 species
AGAUUGAACGCUGGCGGCAUGCCUUACACAUGCAAGUCGAACGGUAGAGUAGCAAUACUCGAGAGUGGCGAACGGGUGAGUAAUAUAUCGGAACGUGCCCAGUCGUGGGGGAUAACGUAGAGAAAUUUACGCUAAUACCGCAUACGAUCUAAGGAUGAAAGCGGGGGAUUCGCAAGAACCUCGCGCGAUUGGAGCGGCUGAUAGUCAGAUUUAGGUUGUUGGUGAGGUAAAAGCUACAACCAAGCCGACGACUCUGUAGCUGGUUUGAGAGACGACAGCCACACUGGGACUGAGACGACGGCCAGACUCCGUAGGGAGGCAGCAGGUGGGAAUUUUGGACAAGUGGGACGAAAGG